rnacentral:lncRNA from 1 species
GAAAAUCAAAACAUAAACGGAAAAUCAACAACAUAAGGUAGCAUACAAACGUGGAUAUUUCGGAUCAAUUUCAAUCCAGUCGAACAUUUUUCUCACAUCUUCAUCAUCUUUCAACUCUUUCUAUUCGUAUUUCCGUGGUGCAUCAUCAUAUCCUCCAACAUGGUCAGCUGCCAGAUCGAUAUAUGACUCAUAAUACGCUAGUUUGUCUAUUUUGAUUUGUCUAGCGUAUUUGAAGCGAU